AGGCCACCCAGUGCUCUGCCCUGCUUUGGUGUGGAAAUGAAUAUUUAUUCUCCCUCACCGCUGUUGCUUUAAGAGGAUUUCUGUGCCUAUAAAUGCCCGUACCCGGGGGCGGGGGCGGAAGUAAUUCAUCAGGUCAUAGACUUAAUUCUGGCGUGAAGGACAGCUGCCAGCGAACAAUAAAGCCGUCCGGGGCCAAGCUGCCACCUGGGCCAGAUGAGGAAAGCUGAGCUGAGCAGAUAAGCCUUGGUGAUUACUCAUCUCACCUGCAGCUGUUCUCCUCCAGUGCUUUAUCUCAGCUCUCCAGAUGAUCAUCACGGUGAUGUACAUGCUUUCCAGCAUCCUGGGCACAUGCAGAGCAGAGCUGCGGAUCUGGACAUACCCCUGUGGCGAUCUGUGUGACACAGCAUUAAUGGGAAUUUCUUUGUGAAAAAGUGUCAGUUAAAUGAAUAAAUGAAUGGAGCGUGCAGAGAAAGAAAUGCUU
rnacentral:lncRNA from 1 species